AAAUGAGGAAACUCAAGCUGUAAUCUCUAGGAAACCAGAAGGAAUACUAUAAUCAAAACAGGGAAGAGAGGAGAGGGUGUGGUGGAGAAUGGAGCUAACUUCUUUAUUCUUUACAAACACCAGAUGCAGCCUAUACACCAAGAAGCUGUCUUCAGGACACCUCCAGGACAAAAACCAGGAAUGCCUACAAGGGGUACUGCAGGAAAACGGGAAGAGAGAAGUGCUGGGAAUGCAGAUGGAAAUGAACUGAUGUCCAAGAAAUUACACACACACAAAUGACAACUCCUCUUUUGGCUCUGAGAAGGAAAAGCAGUGAAAGUGACACCAGGGUCAGCUCUGAGCGUUGGCCAAGUACCUGGCCAGGUGCCUAAGGAGAGUCCCAGACUGAAACCUCUUCAUGAAAAAUUUACAAUGCUCCUCUGUGUUUUGGAGUCAGAGGGCAAUAGUAGCAAAUGGCAGACAGAAACCAUACUUUAGAUUUGCUGGCAGCUACAGAGGACAGAAAACACUUCCAAGGAUGGGAAGAAAAACCCUCAGCUGCAUCCCCAGGUUCUACAUUUCUGGCUUUAUAAAGAUACUAAUUGUCCUCACCAGCAGAAGCAUAGUA
rnacentral:lncRNA from 1 species